rnacentral:rRNA from 1 species
GACGAACGCUGGCGGCGUGCUUAACACAUGCAAGUCGAACGGUAAGGCCCUUCGGGGUACACGAGUGGCGAACGGGUGAGUAACGCGUGAGUAACCUGCCCUUCACUCUGGGAUAACAGUUGGAAACGGCUGCUAAUACCGGAUAUUCAGCUCCAGUCGCAUGGUGGGGGUUGGAAAGUUUUGGUGGUGGAGGAUGGGCUCGCGUCCUAUCAGCUUGUUGGUGGGGUGAUGGCCUACCAAGGCGUCGACGGGUAGCCGGCCUGAGAGGGCGACCGGCCACAUUGGGACUGAGAUACGGCCAGAACUCCUACGGGAGGCAGCAGUGGGGAAUAUUGCACAAUGGGCGGAAGCCUGAUGCAGCAACGCCGCGUGCGGGAUGACGGCCUUCGGGUUGUAAACCGCUUUCAGCAGGGACGAAGCGCAAGUGACGGUACCUGCAGAAGAAGCACCGGCUAACUACGUG